GACGAACGCUGGCGGCGUGCUUAACACAUGCAAGUCGAACGGAUCACAUUGCUUCGGUUUUGUGGUGAGUGGCGAACGGGUGAGUAACACGUGAGUAACCUGCCCCCUUCUUUGGGAUAACGUCGGGAAAUCGGCGCUAAUACUGGAUAUUCUGGUUUCCUCGCAUGGGGUUUCUGGGAAAGGUUCUCUGGUGGGGGAUGGGCUCGCGGCCUAUCAGCUUGUUGGUGGGGUGAUGGCCUACCAAGGCGGUGACGGGUAGCCGGCGUGAGAGGGUGUCCGGCCACACUGGGACUGAGACACGGCCCAGACUCCUACGGGAGGCAGCAGUGGGGAAUAUUGCACAAUGGGCGCAAGCCUGAUGCAGCGACGCCGCGUGAGGGAUGACGGCCUUCGGGUUGUAAACCUCUUUCAGUACAGAACAAGGCCUUCGGGUUGAGGGUAUGUGCAGAAGAAGCGCCGGCUAACUACGUGCCAGCAGCCGCCGUAAGAC
rnacentral:rRNA from 1 species